GACAGAGGCCUCGAGCGUUAGGCGGAAUCACUGGGCUUAAAGCGUGUGUAGGCGGAUCGUUAAGUGCCUUGUGAAAUCCCACGGCUUAACUGUGGAACGGCUGGGCAUACUGGCGGUCUUGAGCCAUCUAGGGGCGACUGGAACAAACGGUGGAGCGGUGAAAUGCGUAGAUAUCGUUUGGAACGCCAAAGGUGAAAACAGGUCGCUGGGGAUGUGCUGACGCUGAGACACGAAAGCCAGGGGAGCAAACGGG
rnacentral:rRNA from 1 species